rnacentral:rRNA from 1 species
UACGUAGGUGGCAAGCGUUGUCCGGAAUUACUGGGUGUAAAGGGAGCGCAGGCGGGAAGCCAAGUCAGCUGUGAAGACUACGGGCUUAACUUGUAGACUGCAGUUGAAACUGGUUUUCUUGGGUGAAGUAGAGGUUGGCGGAAUUCCGAGUGUAGCGGUGAAAUGCGUAGAUAUUCGGAGGAACACCGGUGGCGAAGGCGGCCAACUGGGCUUUAACUGACGCUGAGGCUCGAAAGUGUGGGGAGCAAACAGG